CAAAGAGCCCUCUGGAUUCCAAGUAUUUCCUUUCAGUGGAGUAAAUGAUGUUUUAUGCCUAUAAUUAACUGGGAGCCAGUACACACUGCGCUGGUUUUAAGCUGACUCAAUGCUGUCUGCAAGGCACAGUGUGAUAAAACAAUAUUCAAAUCAACUUCUUAACUGAGCUGGCGAGUGACACAAUCUGGAGACGGAUGCCAGGAGGGGGUCUCCCUGUUGUCACCUGCUGAGGGGCCCCUGAUGAUCCCUGGAGGUCGUGGCUGUGCCUCUGGUGGGGCUGGAGAGCUCAGCCCGUCCAGGGGCACGGAGUGGAAGCUUCUCCCCACAACAAAGUGAUUCCUCCUGAAGCAUUUGCAGCUCCAGCACCUCAGGAUGAGCUGCUGGAAGUUUGACUGAUGUGGAGACCUUCCAAAUGCUGGUGGAUGGAUCAGGAACCUGAUGAAGGUGACCCCAAGAGUGCUGCUGGACAGGACAGAAUAAUGGAUUUACUGUUCCUGACCCUCUGGCUGGGAGCAGACACAUUUCCAGGACAGCACAGGACCCGUCUCCUGCCCUGCUGACCCCAUUUGGGACUGGCAAAGGAAGCAACCAUUGAUCUUAAUCCCUUUUUCCUCUGCUUGUGAAACUCUGAAGCUCCCACUGACCCUUUACUGCCCAGUGAAGGUUCUGGUUUCCCACAGUCCAGAUGGGUACUAACACUGGCAGAAGCUGUCUGGAUGAGAAGCAGAAAAGAGAUACAGCCAGAGGGCAGCUAUUACAGGCAAAAAGAAGAAUAAAAAAAGAAAAGAAGACA
ensembl:lncRNA